AGUAUGAAUUAGGGUUAAUCAAAUUCACACCUUCGUCUUCCCUCUUCCAACUUUCGCUGCCCCGGUUUCAUCUCUCACUACUCCAUUCUCUCUAAUCAGGUCGACAAUGUAGAGAUCUCCGACAUCGUUUUGUCUUCACCAUCCAAUUCUCACCAUAGUUGACAUGAGGCAGAAGAAAAUCAAAGCAGCGGCGGCGGUGGCACAAUACAUUGGGGCCGAGUUGCGGGUGAAUUUCAAUCCGGGACUGACCUCGAGACGGUGCCCGAACAACAACGCUGAACCGCGAGUAGGGAGGGCCGAGGCGCGGUGUUGGGAGUUGAGUUAUGGGCGGUAACCGACUCGAGGUGCUGAAUUGCAUAUAUUGAAUUGCAGUCGAUGGAGAUGUAAUUGCAGGCGCUGAAUUAAAGACAUGGUGUGCGUUAAUUGCAGCCGCAGAAUGGAAACGUGUUCAUCUACUUGCAGGGCGUGAAUUGGUGAUGGAGAUGUAAUUGAAGGUGUGA